rnacentral:rRNA from 1 species
AGUGAACGCUGGCGGUAGGCCUAACACAUGCAAGUCGAACGGCAGCACAGUGAGAGCUUGCUCUUACGGGUGGCGAGUGGCGGACGGGUGAGGAAUACAUCGGAAUCUACUUUUUCGUGGGGGAUAACGUAGGGAAACUUACGCUAAUACCGCAUACGACCUACGGGUGAAAGCAUGGGAUCUUCGGACCUUGCGCGAUUGAAUGAGCCGAUGUCGGAUUAGCUAGGUGGCGGGGUAAAGGCCCACCAAGGCGACGAUCCGUAGCUGGUCUGAGAGGAUGAUCAGCCACACUGGAACUGAGACACGGUCCAGACUCCUACGGGAGGCAGCAGUGGGGAAUAUUGGACAAUGGGCGCAAGCCUGAUCCAGCCAUACCGCGUGGGUGAAGAAGGCCUUCGGGUUGUAAAGCCCUUUUGUUGGGAAAGAAAAGCAGCAGGUUAAUACCCCGCUGUUCUGACGGUACCCAAAGAAUAAGCACCGGCUAACUUCGUG